rnacentral:rRNA from 1 species
AACGAACGCUGGCGGCAGGCCUAACACAUGCAAGUCGAACGCUCCAGCAAUGGAGAGUGGCAGACGGGUGAGUAACGCGUGGGAACCUUCCCUAUGGUUCGGAAUAGCUCAGGGAAACUUGAGGUAAUACCGGAUAAGCCCUUCGGGGAAGGAUUAUCNCCAUUGAUGGCCGCGUAGGAUUAGCUAGUUGGUGAGGUAACGGCUCACCAAGGCGACGAUCCUUAGCNGGUCUGAGAGGAUGAUCAGCCACACUGGGACGUGAGACACGGCCCAGACUCCUACGGGAGGCAGCAGUGGGGAAGUAUUGGACAAUGGGCGCAAGCCUGAUCCAGCCAUGCCGCGUGAGUGACGAAGGCCUUAGGGUUGUAAAGC